rnacentral:rRNA from 1 species
GACGAACGCUGGCGGCGUACUUAACACAUGCAAGUCGAACGGAAAGGCCUCUUUCGGGGGGUACUCGAGUGGCGAACGGGUGAGUAACACGUGAGUAACCUGCCCUUGACUUUGGGAUAACUUCAGGAAACUGGGGCUAAUACCGGAUAGGAGCUCCUGCUGCAUGGUGGGGGUUGGAAAGUUUCGGCGGUUGGGGAUGGACUCGCGGCUUAUCAGCUUGUUGGUGGGGUAGUGGCUUACCAAGGCUUUGACGGGUAGCCGGCCUGAGAGGGUGACCGGCCACAUUGGGACUGAGAUACGGCCCAGACUCCUACGGGAGGCAGCAGUGGGGAAUAUUGCACAAUGGGUGGAAGCCUGAUGCAGCAACGCCGUGUGCGGGAUGACGGCCUUCGGGUUGUAAACCGCUUUCGCUCAUGACGAAGCUUUGUGUGACGGUAGUGGGUAAAGAAGCACCGGCUAACUACGUG